rnacentral:rRNA from 1 species
AUUGAACGCUGGCGGCAUGCCUUACACAUGCAAGUCGAACGGUAACAGGUCUUCGGAUGCUGACGAGUGGCGAACGGGUGAGUAAUACAUCGGAACGUGCCCGAUCUUGGGGGAUAACGAGGCGAAAGCUUUGCUAAUACCGCAUACGAUCUACGGAUGAAAGCGGGGGAUCUUCGGACCUCGCGCGGACGGAGCGGCCGAUGGCAGAUUAGGUAGUUGGUGGGAUAAAAGCUUACCAAGCCGACGAUCUGUAGCUGGUCUGAGAGGAUGAUCAGCCACACUGGGACUGAGACACGGCCCAGACUCCUACGGGAGGCAGCAGUGGGGAAUUUUGGACAAUGGGCGAAAGCCUGAUCCAGCCAUGCCGCGUGCAGGAUGAAGGCCUUCGGGUUGUAAACUGCUUUUGUACGGAACGAAAAGCCUCUUUCUAAUAAAGAGGGGUCAUGACGGUACCGUAAGAAUAAGCACCGGCUAACUACGUG